UCUAUUAUCUAUUAUCAUCUAUCUAUCAUCUAUCUAUCUAUCUAUCUAUCUAUCUAUCUAUCUAUCUAUCUACACCCUGUGCCAGGCCUCAUGGUUCCACAGUUUCACAGACCCCCAAGACCCUGGAACAAAAGGCAGAACAGCUUCACAGCCCAUCUCAGCCCUUGCCAGGAUUGGAGGGGUGGCCGCAGCCCAGUCCCCAGCACUUACUUCAACCCCAACAUGGCUCGUUCAGUGACUGACCCUCUCUCUCUCCCCAACAGGGUGACCCUUCCAGUGUCCUUUCCUAGUCACCCAGGGCCACCGACGCUGGCCUAAUCUAUCUGGCUGAAACUGUCUGCCUCAGCUGAGGUUAUUGUGUUUCGCUCUGAGAUGCUUGGAUUUACUGGGUUUAUUGGAUCAUUUUUCACUCUGCAUCUGUGGACAUAAAAUGGAGAAAUAAGUACGAAAUGGCUGUCUUGAGGGAAGCUUCCUCUGCGGAGCCUUUGGUCACCUCCUCUCUCCCUCCUCCCUCUUCUUCCUCCUUCUUCUCUUCUGAAAUUGGAUUAUUCUGGAGCCUACAAGGCUCUUGUGCAACACAGGAACCCGUCCCAAGAGGGUCCAGGGCCAUCCUAGGCCUUGCUUUCUAAUGGGUGAGUAGUGAGGGCUGGAGGGGAUGUGGGGGACUUGGGUUAGCCUGCGGGGUAUGGGCAACUCAAGAGCAGGAUUGAGACUCACUCAGGUCUGAGCCUAAGUGUGUUUACAAUGCAACAUCUGGUCACCAUACAGACACUUGUGGCACAGGGACCCAGCAGG
rnacentral:lncRNA from 1 species